rnacentral:rRNA from 1 species
CAGCCGUAAACUAUGCGCGUUAGGUGUACUGGUGACCACGAGUCACCGGGGUGCCGAAGGGAAACCGUGAAACGUGCCGCCUGGGAAGUACGGUCGCAAGGCUGAAACUUAAAGGAAUUGGCGGGGAGCACCACAACGGGUGGAGCCUGCGGUUUAAUUUGGACUCAACGCCGGAAUCUCACCGGAUAGGACAGACAUAUGAUAGUCGGGCUGAAGACUCUACUUGAUGAUCUGAGAGGUGGUGCAUGGCGUCAGUGACU